GCCUCCUUAGCUUAGUUGGUAGAGCAUGAGACUCUUAAUCUCAGGGUCAUGGGUUCAAGCCCCAUGUUGGGCA
rnacentral:tRNA from 1 species